rnacentral:lncRNA from 1 species
UUGGAGAGGUCUGGUUCAACGAAAGAUGACUGCUUAUCAAGAAUUAGCCGUUUUGCCAUGACACAAUGGUAGAGUGCAGAGUUCAGGUUCAGUUGAUGGCUGUCAGGUGAUAGCUCUCCAAUACUGUCACUCCACGAUUCACCAGUCGUCUCUCAGUAACUGUUACGCUCUUUAGUGCGUGAUUCAUCGUCUUACCUUUGCAAUUAUUUAAGUCGACGGGCAAAAUGAACGAAACAGAAGAGCAAAUGUGUCUUGAAAACAUAGAAGAAUAUCUCAUGGAUCAUGACAAAAUCGUGACUUACAAAUAUCUGAGCCGCUCUCUGAAUAUAUCAAUGAAUGAUGCAAAAAGGUUACUUGCUAAGUAUGCUUCAACCAGCAAGCAUAAGUCUGAUCUCUCUGCCGUAUAUGCUGUUGGGGGAGAGUUGAAAAACAAUGGAGGAUUCUUCGUGAUAAUCGCUCAAGAUAAAGAUCUAGACUCUGUGAAAUCUCAGUUCAAAGAAGUAUCCUGGGAACAGUUAUACAGCUUGCAGAAGAAAGGACAACUGUGUGAUCUCAAUACUUUGCUUCUUGCGAAUAACGUAACUCCAACGGAUGAAAACGAAAAUAGUGUCGUUGGCAUUCCAUAUUGGAAGGAUCCGAAAAGGGAUGACAUUGCAGCACGUAAUGCGACCACUGCAACAACCUCAACAAUUGCUAAACAAGAGCCAAAAGUUCCGCCUAAAAAAGCAGCUUCACCCCAGAAACCAGCUCAGCCGUCCAAAAUCCCUCCCAAGACACCUCCUAAGGCUGCACCCAAGUCUAAAACCAGUCCUAGUCCAAAGAAAGAAACAGCAGCAAAAGAUAAAAGUACUGGGAAUAAGUCCGGAGGUAUUGCUGCUAUGUUUGCAGCUCAGCAAUCUAAGAAAGAUACCGCUCCUAAGUCAAAGGCUAAACCGGAACCUACAAAAAAAUCUGGCAGCCAAAGCAUAUCGUCACUCUUCGCAGGACAGGCAAAGAAAAUGGCUGAGAAGAAAACAGAGUCUCAAACGAGUGUCUCUAGUAGUUGCACAUCCACUGAUAACUCCAAAUUAAAUUGCGAAUCACAAGAAUUAUUCUCUAGCUCCGAUAAUGAAAAAGGUAGUCAGUCUACAAAAUCUCAAGAGUCUGCAUUAAAAGUCAAUGGAAAAGAAGGAAGUAGUCAGUCUAAAAAAUCUCAGGAGUCUGCAACAAAAGUCAAUGGAAAAGAAGGAAGUAGUCAAUCAUCCAAAAACGCAAGCAUCAAUAAAAAGCCUCCAGUUAGCAAGAAAAAGGUUCAAUCACAAAAAGGCAAAAAGGAAAACCAUCAGAACCUCCUCAGAAAAGGAGAAAGCGAGUCAUGGUUGAAAGUGACUCAGAAAAGAGUAGUGAAGGAGAAAGUGAUGCAGAGUCUGAGAGGAGUCUCUCCCCUGAACCUGAAAAGCCUCCGUCACCUGAACCCAUGGAAGAAGACGAUGAAAUAA